rnacentral:rRNA from 1 species
AAACAUGGCUCUUUGCAUUUACUUGAUAGAGAGUCAGGCCUGCCCAGUGAAUAAUAUUUAACGGCCGCGGUACUCUGACCGUGCAAAGGUAGCAUAAUCAUUUGCCUUAUAAUUGAAGGCUAGUAUGAAUGGUUUAACGAGAGCAAUACUGUCUCCUUUUUAUUUUUGAGAACUUAACCUUUAGGUGAAGAGGCCUAAAUUUGAUUGAAGGACAAGAAGACCCUGUCGAGCUUAAAAGACAUUAUAGAAGGACAUAUAUUUUUAAAAAUAAAUUUACUAUUAAGCUUUUUAGUUGGGGCGACUAAGGAACAAAAAAAGCUUCUUGCAAUAAACAAACAACCAAGUUUUGAUCCGAUAUAAUCGAUUAAAGAAAUUAGUUACCGCAGGGAUAACAGCAUAAUCUCUCUUGAGAGAUCUAAUCGAAAGAGGGGGUUGUGACCUCGAUGUUGGACUAGAAUAUCCUAAAGAUGCAGAAGUCUUUAAGGGUCGGUCUGUUCGACCGUUAAAAUUCUACGUGAUC